GACGAACGCUGGCGGCGUGCUUAACACAUGCAAGUCGAGCGGUAAGGCCUUUCGGGGUACACGAGCGGCGAACGGGUGAGUAACACGUGGGUGAUCUGCCCUGCACUCUGGGAUAAGCCUGGGAAACUGGGUCUAAUACUGGAUAUGACCUCAGCAUGCAUGUGCUGGGGUGGAAAGCUUUUGUGGUGCAGGAUGGGCCCGCGGCCUAUCAGCUUGUUGGUGGGGUAAUGGCCUACCAAGGCGACGACGGGUAGCUGACCUGAGAGGGUGACCAGCCACACUGGGACUGGGACACGGCCCAGGCUCCUACGGGAGGCAGCAGUGGGGAAUAUUGCACAAUGGGCGGAAGCCUGAUGCCGCGACGCCGUGUGAGGGAUGAAGGCCUUCGGGUUGUAAACCUCUUUCAGCAGGGACGAAGCGUGAGUGACGGUACCUGCAGAAGAAGCACCGGCUAACUACGUGCCAGCAGCCGCAGUAA
rnacentral:rRNA from 1 species